rnacentral:rRNA from 1 species
CCUACGGGAGGCAGCAGUAAGGAAUAUUGGUCAAUGGGCGCAAGCCUGAACCAGCCAUGCCGCGUGCAGGAAGACGGCCCUAUGGGUUGUAAACUGCUUUUGAACAAGAGAAAACCUCGGUACGUGUACCGAGCUGAUAGUAUUGUUAGAAUAAGCAUCGGCUAACUUCGUGCCAGCAGCCGCGGUAAGACGAAGGAUGCAAGCGUUAUCCGGAUUCAUUGGGUUUAAAGGGUGCGUAGGCGGCCUGAUAAGUCAGUGGUGAAAUCUCUCAGCUUAACUGAGAAACUGCCAUUGAUACUGUCGGGCUUGAGUACAGAUGAUGUGGGCGGAAUAUGACAUGUAGUGGUGAAAUACUUAGAUAUGUCAUAGAACACCGAUUGCGAAGGCAGCUCACAAAACUGUAACUGACGCUGAGGCACGAAAGUGCGGGGAUCAAACAGGAUUAGAUACCCUGGUAGUCCGCACCGUAAACGAUGAUUACUCGUUGUUGGNGAUAUGACGUCACGCGACCGAACGACGAACGACGAGUAAGUAAGUACCACCCGUACGGGAGGUACGGCCGGCCGAACGGUACGAAACGUUAAAGUAAGUAAGUAGGUACGGACGAGGAGACGACGACGGACGGACGACGACGGAGGGAGGAG